GUACCUAUAGCUCAAAGCUCGAGCAUCGGUCUUGUAAGCCGGGGCUGGGGGUUGAAUUCCCCCUAGGUACU
rnacentral:tRNA from 1 species